rnacentral:rRNA from 1 species
UACGUAGGGUGCAAGCGUUGUCCGGAAUUAUUGGGCGUAAAGAGCUCGUAGGCGGUCUGUCGCGUCUGCUGUGAAAACCUAGGGCUUAACUCUGGGCGUGCAGUGGGUACGGGCAGGCUAGAGUGCGGUAGGGGAGACUGGAAUUCCUGGUGUAGCGGUGAAAUGCGCAGAUAUCAGGAGGAACACCGGUGGCGAAGGCGGGUCUCUGGGCCGUAACUGACGCUGAGGCACGAAAGCGUGGGUAGCAAACAGG